rnacentral:rRNA from 1 species
AUGAACGCUGGCGGCGUGCCUAAUACAUGCAAGUCGAGCGAACAGAUGAGGAGCUUGCUCCUCUGACGUUAGCGGCGGACGGGUGAGUAACACGUGGAUAACCUACCUAUAAGAUUGGGAUAACUUCGGGAAACCGGAGCUAAUACCGGAUAAUAUAUUGAACCGCAUGGUUCAAUAGUGAAAGACGGUUUUGCUGUCACUUAUAGAUGGAUCCGCGCCGCAUUAGCUAGUUGGUAAGGUAACGGCUUACCAAGGCAACGAUGCGUAGCCGACCUGAGAGGGUGAUCGGCCACACUGGAACUGAGACACGGUCCAGACUCCUACGGGAGGCAGCAGUAGGGAAUCUUCCGCAAUGGGCGAAAGCCUGACGGAGCAACGCCGCGUGAGUGAUGAAGGUCUUCGGAUCGUAAAACUCUGUUAUUAGGGAAGAACAAAUGUGUAAGUAACUAUGCACGUCUUGACGGUACCUAAUCAGAAAGCCACGGCUAACUACGUG